rnacentral:rRNA from 1 species
UACGUAGGGGGCAAGCGUUGUCCGGAAUCAUUGGGCGUAAAGCGCGCGUAGGCGGCUCGGAAAGUCGGUCGUGAAAUGCCGGGGCUCAACCCCGGGACUGCGUCCGAUACUCUCGAGCUGGAGGCAGGUAGGGGAGAUCGGAAUUCCUGGUGUAGCGGUGAAAUGCGCAGAUAUCAGGAGGAACACCGGUGGCGAAGGCGGGUCUCUGGGCAGAAACUGACGCUGAGGAGCGAAAGCGUGGGGAGCAAACAGG